rnacentral:tRNA from 1 species
AGGAGUAUAGCUCAGUUGGUUUAGAGCAUCUGUCUUACAAACAGAAGGUCAUAGGUUCGAAUCCUAUUACUCCUA